GCCCCCGUAGCUUAGUGGUCAGCAUUUGAUACUUCUUCUCAGCGUUUGAUUUUCCCAGCGAAUAGAGUUACGGCAGUGAAAGACAUCGGUUCAAAUCCGAUCGCGGACA